rnacentral:rRNA from 1 species
CGGGUGGUAAUGCCGGAUGCUCCAGUUGAUCGCAUGGUCUUCUGGGAAAGCCUUUGCGGCAUGGGAUGGGGUCGCGUCCUAUCAGCUUGAUGGCGGGGUAACGGCCCACCAUGGCUUCGACGGGUAGCCGGCCUGAGAGGGCGACCGGCCACAUUGGGACUGAGAUACGGCCCAGACUCCUACGGGAGGCAGCAGUGGGGAAUAUUGCACAAUGGGCGCAAGCCUGAUGCAGCGACGCCGCGUGAGGGAUGGAGGCCUUCGGGUUGUAAACCUCUUUUGUUAGGGAGCAAGGCAUUUUGUGUUGAGUGUACCUUUCGAAUAAGCACCGGCUAACUACGUGCCAGCAGCCGCGGUAAUACGUAGGGUGCAAGCGUUAUCCGGAAUUAUUGGGCGUAAAGGGCUCGUAGGCGGUUCGUCGCGUCCGGUGUGAAAGUCCAUCGCUUAACGGUGGAUCCGCGCCGGGUACGGGCGGGCUUGAGUGCGGUAGGGGAGACUGGAAUUCCCGGUGUAACGGUGGAAUGUGUAGAUA